AGUGAACGCUGGCGGUAGGCCUAACACAUGCAAGUCGAACGGCAGCACAGUAAGAGCUUGCUCUUACGGGUGGCGAGUGGCGGACGGGUGAGGAAUACAUCGGAAUCUACUUUUUCGUGGGGGAUAACGUAGGGAAACUUACGCUAAUACCGCAUACGACCUACGGGUGAAAGCAGGGGAUCUUCGGACCUUGCGCGAUUGAAUGAGCCGAUGUCGGAUUAGUUAGUUGGCGGGGUAAAGGCCCACCAAGGCGACGACCCGUAGCUGGUCUGAGAGGAUGAUCAGCCACACUGGAACUGAGACACGGUCCAGACUCCUACGGGAGGCAGCAGUGGGGAAUAUUGGACAAUGGGCGCAAGCCUGAUCCAGCCAUACCGCGUGGGUGAAGAAGGCCUUCGGGUUGUAAAGCCCUUUUGUUGGGAAAGAAAAGCAGCAGGUUAAUACCCCGCUGUUCUGACGGUACCCAAAGAAUAAGCACCGGCUAACUUCGUG
rnacentral:rRNA from 1 species